AACGAACGCUGGCGGCAUGCCUAACACAUGCAAGUCGAACGGCAUUUCCGGGUUCGCCCGGGGGUGCAGUGGCGCACGGGUGAGUAGCGCGUGGGAACCUGCCCUGGAGUGGGGGAUAACCGAGGGAAACUUCGGCUAAUACCGCAUGCGCCCCCGGAGUUGAUCCGGGGGGAAAGAUAUAUCGCUCUAGGAGGGGCCCGCGUCGGAUUAGCUGGUUGGUGGGGUAACGGCCUACCAAGGCGAUGAUCCGUAGCUGGUCUGAGAGGAUGAUCAGCCACACUGGGACUGAGACACGGCCCAGACUCCUACGGGAGGCAGCAGUGGGGAAUAUUGGACAAUGGGCGCAAGCCUGAUCCAGCAAUGCCGCGUGAGUGAUGAAGGCCUUAGGGUUGUAAAGCUCUUUCGCCCGCGACGAUGAUGACGGUAGCGGGAGAAGAAGCCCCGGCUAACUUCGUGCCAGCAGCCGCGGUAACAC
rnacentral:rRNA from 1 species